CUGGAUGACCUCUUUCACCAAUUGGGCCAGUCUCACCAGUAGGACCCUAAGCACAAAGAAAUCUCACUUCACAUUCUUGACUUCUGCUUCAUGAUGACAUCAAGAAUACACACACAAAAAUAGAAGUACAAAAAUAAUCUCAACAUUCACGUUUCAUGGAACUAUUGCAGGACCAGCAGCACCUGGGUCCCCAGAUGGACCUGCUCGACCUUUUGGACCUUCUGGACCAUCUUCUCCUCUUGGGCCAGGUUGACCAACUUCUCCCUGAAAUACAACGUUAUAUAAAUGAGCAGCAAUUGACUGUGUGCAUACAUUAG